rnacentral:rRNA from 1 species
AUGGCCACUACGAGUGCAUGCUCCCUCUGUGGUGGACAUGAUAGCUGGCGACAUUCUUUGCUGGAGUGUAAUGCGUCUAGAUGUGUAUGGGCACUUUCAGAAGCCGCGAUGGUCGAGCACAUGCUGGCAACUUCGGAGCCUGACGCACGAUUAUGGCUCUUUGCUAUGAGUGAGUCUCUCCCACCUGAGCAAUUUUAGUUGAUGAUUGUUACUAUGUGGGCUAUUUGGAGUGCACGGCGGAAGGAGAAAGCACAUGGGAUAGCAGUACCACGAGUUCAUACGUGGAUUCCGCCACCAACAGAUCACUACAAGCUCAAUGGGGACGCGGCCGUGUCACGCUCGGGCAUGUUUGGCACAGUUGGUGUGGUUUGCAGGGAUGAAAGGGGUUUGUUCAUGGGAGCGUCAGCUCUCGUUCUCAAUGGACUGCGCAACCCCCAGGUGCUAGAAGCACUAGCUGUUCGGGAGGCAUUAGCUCUUUCAGAAGAUCUCUAUAUCAACCAACUACUGGUGGCCUCAGAUUGUAAGGUGGUGGUAGAUGCAAUCAGGCAAGGAAGCGCAGCAGACUUCGGAGCCAUUGUUGAAGAAAUCAAAGCUAGAGCAACUACCUUUAUUUCAUGUUCGUUUACUCAUGAGUAUAGAACCUCCAAUACGGAGGCCCAUAAUCUCGCAAAGCAUGCUUUAUCUUUAGGGUUUGACCGACACACUUGGCUAGGACAACCCGGCGAUCUUCUUUUUGUACCUAUGAACAUUAUGAUUCAGUAA